GCCCACGGUGGCUUAGUGUAUAGCGUCACACCUCCAGGGUCCGGGGUUCGAUUCCCGCCGGGGCC